AUACGUAGGGUGCGAGCGUUGUCCGGAAUUAUUGGGCGUAAAGAGCUUGUAGGCGGUCUGUCGCGUCUGCUGUGAAAAUCCGGGGCUCAACCCCGGACUUGCAGUGGGUACGGGCAGACUAGAGUGUGGUAGGGGAGACUGGAAUUCCUGGUGUAGCGGUGAAAUGCGCAGAUAUCAGGAGGAACACCGAUGGCGAAGGCAGGUCUCUGGGCCAUAACUGACGCUGAGAAGCGAAAGCAUGGGGAGCGAACAGGAUUAGAUACCCUGGUAGUCCAUGCUGUAAACGUUGGGAACUAGGUGUGGGUCUCAUUCCACGAGAUCCGUGCCGCAGCUAACGCAUUAAGUUCCCCGCCUGGGGAGUACGGCCGCAAGGCUAAA
rnacentral:rRNA from 1 species